UACGGAGGGAGCAAGCGUUACUCGGAAUUAUUGGGCGUAAAGGGCGCGUAGGCGAUCUGCCAAGUCCUGUGUGAAAGCCCAAGGCUUAACCUUGGAAGUGCACAGGAGACUGGCUGGAUUUGAGUUCAGGAGAGGAAGGCAGAAUUCCCGGUGUAGCGGUGAAAUGCGUAGAGAUCGGGAGGAAUACCAGUGGCGAAGGCGGCCUUCUGGACUGACACUGACGCUGAGGCGCGAAAGCCAGGGGAGCAAACGGG
rnacentral:rRNA from 1 species